GCAGGGAGUUUUGCGCAAUGGGCGAAAGCCUGACGCAGCAACGCCGCGUGAGGGAUGAAGGCCUUCGGGUUGUAAACCUCUUUUAUCAGGGAAGAAUAAUGACGGUACCUGGUGAAUAAGUCACGGCUAACUACGUGCCAGCAGCUGCGGUAAUACGUAGGUGGCAAGCGUUAUCCGGAUUCACUGGGCGUAAAGAGCGCGUAGGUGGUCCUUCAAGUCAGAUGUUAAAUCUCCUGGCUUAACUGGGAGCUGUCAUCUGAUACUGCUGGACUUGAGGGCGGUAGAGGGAGGUGGAAUUCCCGGUGUAGUGGUGAAAUGCGUAGAUAUCGGGAGGAACACCAGUGGCGAAAGCGGCCUCCUAGGCCGUUCCUGACACUGAGGCGCGAAAGCGUGGGGAGCGAACAGGAUCAGAUACCCGAGUAGUCC
rnacentral:rRNA from 1 species